GACGAACGCUGGCGGCGUGCCUAACACAUGCAAGUCGAGCGGAGUCGAUCGACGGAAGCCUUCGGGCGGAAGAUGGUUGACUUAGCGGCGGAUGGGUGAGUAACGCGUGGGCAACCUGCCUCGAAGACCGGGAUAACAGCCCGAAAGGGCUGCUAAUACCGGAUGUGGUCAAGGAUCCGCAUGGAUUUUUGAUUAAAGGGGAAACCCGUUUCGAGAUGGGCCCGCGUCCUAUCAGCUAGUUGGUGAGGUAAAAGCUCACCAAGGCGACGACGGGUAGCCGGCCUGAGAGGGUGACCGGCCACACUGGAACUGAGACACGGUCCAGACUCCUACGGGGGGCAGCAGUGGGAAUCUUCCACAAUGGGCGAAAGCCUGAUGGAGCGACGCCGCGUGAGCGAAGAAGGCCUUCGGGUUGUAAAGCUCUGUCGUGGAGGGACGAAGGAAGUGACGGUACCUCCGGAGGAAGCCGACGGACUAACUACGUGCCAGCAGCCGACGGUAAAAGUGUGUGUA
rnacentral:rRNA from 1 species